rnacentral:lncRNA from 1 species
CAAAUUUAUGCGGCGAGUGCUAGUUUUUUGUAUAUAUAUAUAUAUAUAUGUAGGGAAAGAUAGUGGUGUAGUAGUCGAUCAGGGUCAGAAUUGCCGUGAUAGAAGCCACGACAAAACUAUAAAUUGUUUCUUGGUAUGAAUCGUUCUAUAACAUGUCACCAUUACCAGUAAACAAACGGGAUAUUGAACGGAUGAAUGUGUUUACUCCUCUCCGACCCGCGAGUUCUUUAUUGUGCAGCGCUCUUCUCGUCCCCCGUCUACUUGACUUCUCUGUUUCUCCUGUUCGGUAUCCAUCUUUUUAUUAUACGUGUCAUCAUCUGUCUAAGCUGUCUUCCUUCUUCGUCUGUUCACGUGAUCUCUUCUUUUCACUAAAUAAUCGUUUUUUUAAUAUCCGCUCGAAAUACUUUAACCGUGAAGGAUUUCUUCCGCCAUUAAUUUUUAUUCGCUACGAUAGCUUCGGCCACCGUUUGGCAUCUCUGUAUAGCGAUUCAAAAAAGGCCUAAGGCAGUUCCUACCGAAAUUUCCUAUAAGCCGGAACCGGACACCGUCGUUUUAUUGCUAGUACCCUACCGAGAAUGGCGUGGAUAAAGUAUGGUAGAUCGCCCGCUAUCCGGUUAACGUUGCCAACAGGAUACCACCAAAUCGCGUAUCGUCGAUUUCGUUUGUCUUCAUAAAAAAACAAAAAAGAAAAAGUAUCGCUGCUACUAAAUAUAUAGUUUCGAAAACUAUCCGCUCUUCCUGUGGCGUAGAGCGAGUUGUCGUAGUCUAGUUAGCGACGUCCUCGAAACUGGUAAAACGUAUAUGCAGUCGAAAGCGAUUGGCAGUAGCGACAAAAGUAGGACGACAAAUCCAGUCAAUAAAUUCGCUUGAUGAACUGAUGUGUCAGCUUAACCGUUUGAUAAACUCGAACGACGGUCACGCAUGUUCGACAACUAGACAAAAUAAUUUCAAAGAGCGGUUAGUCUAGUAGGUCAUGCUAGCAUUGUUUAAACGUGUAGUUAGCGACGAAUCUGUAGGUGUUUUCGUAACGUAGGUGUCUGAAACGAGAGCAAUAUUGGUCGUCUAUAUACGGUUUUGUCGGUUUUGAUAUCAUUGCCGGCCGAUACGGAUGAGCCAAGCACUUCAUCGACUUUGUACUUUGUGCGAAGUCCCAUAAGAGAGAGAGAGAGAGAAAACGAACGGGAAUUGCUGGCCCGAAACCCUAUUUUACGAGGAGAGCGAAAAAUGGGUGGGGAAUUCGAAAAUGGAGAAUAGGACCGUUGCACGGAUAAUUCGGAGAGAAGAAGGGCAAGAAACAAGACGUUCAUUUUCUCCCAUUCCAUGUCGAAGAGACGGAUCGAUAGGCCGACUCCCCCUUGCGCGCGCGGCUUUUACGAGAACCAGACGAUCCGUGGUGAAAACGGGAUUUCCCGACAAGCCCAGGCGUUGCCAUAGCAUUUCGGUCGUCAUGGUAACGGCGUGCGGUGAGCCCUUCUACUAGUAGAUAAGAGGAGCCGGGUUAAAGGUGUUCGCACGGUCUGAGACAAUCUGUCACACACACCUCCUCCGGUCUCUCCCCCACUCGUUCUGGCUUCCGGCUUCCCGUCGUUCGUUCUUAUUGGAAAUUCCUAUCGAUCCCUCCGGUUUCGCGGUUAAUGGCGCAUUAGCGCUUACGUAGCCAGUAGUCCCCUCUCCCUCUAAGUACUAGUCUGGGAGCAUCGAAGAACACACAACUUCAGUCCACCGAACGACUGCUGUCCCCAUAUUAAAGCAAAAAAGAAAAAAUAGUGAUUAACCGUGUUGUUGUUGUUGUAGUAAAGAAAAGCUACCGUCGACGUUCGAAGCCCUAGAAGAACGAUGACAUUUAUCUUUCUCGUUUGCACCGUGACCCACAUAAGCCUUCCCGUUUUUUUUUUUCUUUUUUUACCUGUUACCAUUUUUCCGAUUCCGAAGCAAAAAAAGACAACUUCCCUGUGAUGUCGUCUUCACCGCUUCAUACCGCUGCCAUUCUGGAAAGUGGGAUUCUUAGGGAUCUACUGUAGUGGUGGUUAGUGCAGAGCAGCAAUAUAACCCGAUAAUGUAUGGCAUUUGCGCGUUACGCAUUUUCUUCGUUCCGCCGUUUAUAGCAAAAUACGGUAUUUAAUUUUGUAGAAACUGGUUUUUCGGGUUCCUUCUACCAAAGAAUGAUUGUCUAAAUUCUCGUAAAUUUCCGAGUAGUCUCAUCCGACUCCUUUUUUUUUUUUUUUUUUUUUAAUUAAGUCACGUUUUUUUUUUUUUUUUUUUAGUUUUAUCAGAAUAAUACAAACAUUGAAAUCGUUUGACGACACCAGAUGGCGUUAUUGUUAUUAUUAAAGUCGUUGCACCUUCCUACUAAAAAUAACAGCUGACGUAACUUGGCUGUGUCAAUCAGUCAGUUUUUGCUCGCAC